rnacentral:rRNA from 1 species
UGGGGAGGGGGGGGGAAAGGGGGGGGUAGGCGGGGCUUUGGAAGGGGGGGGGGUCGCGGGGCGGGCAAGGGGGACGAAAGGGGAACCCGGGGAAAUGAGGGGAGCGUUUUUGUUUUUUUUUUUUUGUUUGUUUUUUGGUUCGCCCGCUCGGCCCGCGGGCCUAGGCUAACCGAAUCACGUUUGCCAAAAUAUUGAGGUUUUCCAAAACCGAUGCCCUCCAAAAGGGGGCCAGGGGUAAAACCGGGGAAACCUUCUUUUGAGGCGGGAUACCAUGGAACAAAGUCUAACCCUCUAACAACUAACCCGGGUUGUUUAUAGUAAAGAUGUGUUUGCAUCCAAAAAGGAUGUCCCCCGGUUUAUUACUUAGUGGAAAGGUAAUGCCUCACCAGGCAAUGAACAUUGCCGGAUUGAGAAAUUUGUCGCCCACAAGGGGAAUGAACCCGGCCCCAUUCUCUUGGGGGAGCAGCAGUAGGGAUUCUCCACAAUGGGCGAAAGUCUGAUGAGCAACGCCGCGUGUGUGAUGAAGGGUUUCGGCUCGUAAAACACUGUUGUAAGAGAAGAAUGACAUUGAGAGUAACUGUUCAAUGUGUGACGGUAUCUUACCAGAAAGGAACGGCUAAAUACGUGCCAGCAGCCGCGGUAAUACGUAUGUUCCAAGCGUUAUCCGGAUUUAUUGGGCGUAAAGCGAGCGCAGACGGUUAUUUAAGUCCGAAGUGAAAGCCCACAGCUUAACUGUGGAAGUGCUUUGGAAACUGGAUAACUUGAGUGCAGUAGAGGAGAGUGGAACUCCAUGUGUAGCGGUGAAAUGCGUAGAUAUAUGGAAGAACACCAGUGGCGAAGGCGGCUCUCUGGACUGUAACUGACGUUGAGGCUCGAAAGUGUGGGUAGCAAACAGGAUUAGAUACCCUGGUAGUCCACACCGUAAACGAUGAGUGCUAGAUGUUUGAGGGUUUCCGCCCUUAAGUGUCGCAGCUAACGCAUUAAGCACUCCGCCUGGGGAGUACGACCGCAAGGUUGAAACUCAAAGGAAUUGACGGGGACCCGCACAAGCGGUGGAGCAUGUGGUUUAAUUCGAAGCAACGCGAAGAACCUUACCAGGUCUUGACAUCCUUUGACCACUUCAGAGAUGAAGCUUUCCCUUCGGGGACAAAGUGACAGGUGGUGCAUGGUUGUCGUCAGCUCGUGUCGUGAGAUGUUGGGUUAAGUCCCGCAACGAGCGCAACCCUUAUUACUAGUUGCCAGCAUUCAGUUGGGCACUCUAGUGAGACUGCCGGUGACAAACCGGAGGAAGGUGGGGAUGACGUCAAAUCAUCAUGCCCCUUAUGACCUGGGCUACACACGUGCUACAAUGGCAAGUACAACGAGCAGCUAACCCGCGAGGGUACGCGAAUCUCUUAAAACUUGUCUCAGUUCGGAUUGUAGGCUGCAACUCGCCUACAUGAAGUCGGAAUCGCUAGUAAUCGCGGAUCAGCACGCCGCGGUGAAUACGUUCCCGGGUCUUGUACACACCGCCCGUCACACCAUGAGAGUUUGUAACACCCAAAGCCGGUGAGGUAACCUUUUAGGAGCCAACCGUCUAAGGUGGACAGAUGAUUAGGGGAAGUCGUACCAACGAGCAUGGG